CACAAAUUGAAUUAUUUUAAUGUUGAAACAAAAGUCCACCUAGAUGGCCACUAAACAGGAGAAAACUUGUAUAAAUAAAAGGACAGUGAACUUCUACCAAGCUUCCUCUAACAUUUAUGCAAAUUGAAUUGAACAGAGCAGGACAGGCCCCACAGAUUUGCUGCAAUGAAUCUCAUGAGAUCACUUUAAGUAACCACACUUUGGGAGCAGCGCCCAGUGGCUAAACUGCAAAAACUGGUUGCUGCUUGAGCUAUAUACAUGCAGGUUCACAUUUGAGCACAAUGUUGUAAAAUGCUGUUCAGCUAUAGCAAUCGGUUUGGGGAUACCUAGAACACAUAGAAGGAGAAAGCAUCUCUUUUAUGAAAAAGCCAAAAAGAUGGAGUCUGUCUGCUGCUCUGCUUCAUUACGCACUCAUCAAUAUUUCAGAGACCCUCUCACACAUUCAUCACAGGAUGAGAACUCGUUAAGGUGGAAACUCCUCCUCUUUAUCAUUCUCCCUCUCCACAAUACCCUCUAAUUAAAGUUUUCUGCCUCCCUCUCUCUUUGUCUUUGUCGCUCUGUCUUCUGUCUCACACUUGAAUGUUUUGCCUGAGUGGUAAAUUAAAAGUUUGGGCAUAGCAUGCAGUUGUGAACACAGGAGGCACAAUGUCUGUGCUUGUCUUUUCAACAUGCAGAGAGUGAGUGAGCUAGCAGCAGGGCCACCUGUUGUUGGACAGCUGAACUGCAGCUUAUGUUGGAUUUUUCCUCCCUCGUUAGUAGCCUUCAGCUGAACCACAGGUGCAUCUACUAGGAGGCUGAGGGAUACCACUGGCCACCAUCAAGAUUUUUUCUCAAUGCGUUGGCUCAAUUUUUAAAUAUUUCACAUCUGGACAUCUGGGUAAAUAACAAAGUACAACUGUCUACAAUUUUAACAAAUCUUAGCCAAUUACAGUUUAAGUCAAAAUAUGAUAGAACUCUAACUUUUUCACCUUUGGACAUGAAACUGAAGUCUCUAGUCACUGGAUGUCUUCUUAACAAUGUAAUGUAACCAGCUAGUUGGCCUUUACUCUAAGGCCAUGUGUAACUACAGCCAAUAUUUGUAAUGUUUAUUGGCUUUCAGUGCAGAUAAGCAACCUUGUUCAGACCUUCACUGAUAGUGCUGACACACAAAAAUUGGACUUAUGGAUGAGGAACACUUAGCUGCCCCAUUCAGAUCGAUUAUCUUCAGAUUAUAAGUGGUGGUGCAGUGCAGCUGCAGAUCUGGAGCCAGGUUGAAAUGAGCUUAUUGGGAUUCCAGGGAGGGUCCAAUGAUCCAAUCCAGUGCACCAGAGUGAGGUAGCAGGCUGAAAAGUCAAGGUCAGAGGUCAUAAGGUAAAGAAGUAAAAAGGUUCAGACAGUCAGAAGGCAGUGAGAGAGAAGAAGAAGAGGGCAAAACAGUUGAUGAGGCAGUUUUAUACAGUUCACUAUAUUGUAUUAACUUUUGACGGGCUUUAAAACAGGCUUAUUGGAAAUUAGAUUUCCUGGAAUUAAAUGUUUAAACAUAAAACCCUUAGGUUAAAUUUAUUUUUUGAAUGUUUUCAGAAUCAGAAUCAGAAUCAGAUUACUUUAUUGAUCCCUAGGGGAAAUUAUUUUGGCUACAGUGCUCCAGUACAAACAGUAACAAAGACAGACAAUACAAGUAAGAAAUAGCACAAUAUAUACAAUAUAUACAUACACAUAUAUAUGUAUAUACAGUGGAACCCCAACUUACGAAAUUAAUCCGUUCCCGAGGGUCUUUCGUAAGUUGAAAAUUUUCGUAAGUCGAAGCACCCAUCACGCCUUUUGAGUGAGGCGAUGCUGAACGAUAGGCUAUAGGCUAAUUGCAAACUAGAACAACAAUACGUCGUUCAAGUGGAACAGCGAAGCGCAAGUACGGAAGCCAAGGGGUUGUCACAUAAUUUGGAAGGCACUGUGGGCAAUGUAGGCUCAGCCAAUCAGAGCCAGCGGAUUUCGUUACACGGGCAUUUUGCCGUAACACGGGCAGAAAUAUUGCCGUUCAGUGGCUUCGUAACUUGAAUUUUUCGUGACAUGGGGUAUUCGUAAGUCGGGGUUCCACUGUAUAUAUACAUAAGUCACUUAUUGAUAAAUAUCUGAAUAAGAAAGAAGAGCAUGUGCAAAAAGGGUGUAGCUAUUGCAUUAUACAGUGUGUUAAGUGGAUGAGUUGUACAGGGAGAUGGACACUGGCAGAAAUUAUUUCCUGUGUCGUUCAGUGGUGCUUUUUGGUAAUCUCAGUCUCUCACUGAAUGUGCUCCUGUGACUGACCAGCAUGUCAUGGAGUGGGUGGGAGGAAUUAUCCAACAUUGUCUUUAUCUUGGACAACAUUCGCCUCUCCGACACCACCUUUUGUGUGUUUAUUGCAUGUUAUUAGAUGUUGUUGUUAGAUGGAUUUUCUUGAGGUCCUCCCACUUCUUCCAACAAUCCUAAGACAUUCAAUAGGGCAGGACCUGUUACCCUGGCAACCAGGAAAAAUGACCCUUUUAAUCAUAGACUGUGUAUAAAAGUAUCCCCCAUGAGUUUCUGGACUCCUGGUUUUAAAGCUUUUUUAAAACUUGGACCCCUGCUAUAUACGUUUUGUUUUGUUUUUUUUUAAUUCCACAAAAAGACAAAAGUGCAAUGGUAAAGUGGAAAUUGCAUUUAGGACAGAAAGACCUGAUUAUGCUGCUAACACAUUUUCAGUUCUUUGCAAGCAUCUGCACAUACAGCAUGCUAACGCUAAGUUUAAAGCUGGGUGAAUGCUG
ensembl:lncRNA